rnacentral:rRNA from 1 species
ACGUAGGUCACAAGCGUUGUCCGGAAUUACUGGGUGUAAAGGGAGCGCAGGCGGGAAGACAAGUUGGAAGUGAAAUCUAUGGGCUCAACCCAUAAACUGCUUUCAAAACUGUUUUUCUUGAGUAGUGCAGAGGUAGGCGGAAUUCUCGGUGUAGCGGUGGAAUGCGUAGAUAUCGGGAGGAACACCAGUGGCGAAGGCGGCCUACUGGGCACCAACUGACGCUGAGGCUCGAAAGUGUGGGUAGCAAACAG